UACGUAGGGCGCAAGCGUUAUCCGGAAUUAUUGGGCGUAAAGAGCUCGUAGGCGGUUUGUCGCGUCUGCCGUGAAAGUCCGGGGCUCAACUCCGGAUCUGCGGUGGGUACGGGCAGACUAGAGUAUUGCAGGGGAGACUGGAAUUCCUGGUGUAGCGGUGAAAUGCGCAGAUAUCAGGAGGAACACCGGUGGCGAAGGCGGGUCUCUGGACAGUUCCUGACGCUGAGGCACGAAGGUCAGGGGAGCAAACGGG
rnacentral:rRNA from 1 species